UACGGAGGGUGCAAGCGUUAUCCGGAUUCACUGGGUUUAAAGGGUGCGUAGGUGGUGCUGUAAGUCAGGUGUGAAAUCUCGGGGCUCAACCCCGAAACUGCACUUGAUACUGCAGUGCUGGAGGACUGGAGAGGAGAUCGGAAUUCAUGGUGUAGCAGUGAAAUGCGUAGAUAUCAUGAGGAAGACCGGUGGCGAAGGCGGAUCUCUGGACAGUUCCUGACACUGAGGCACGAAGGCUAGGGGAGCAAACGGG
rnacentral:rRNA from 1 species